ensembl:lncRNA
CCCGAAACUCUGGCUGAUUGGGACCCACGCCCACCUUGGCUCAGGUGAUUAGAGGAUCAUCAGGGGGUCCUUUUGUCCCUCUGUGGGGGGUUACUCCCACUAGGUUUAUAUCUGGGACUCUCCACCAUUUGACCUUAGAACUGAAGAAGCUUCUCGGAUGAGAGGUGAAACGUCUUCAAGUAACUUAAAGAAGUCCAGACGCUUUUCUUUGCAAGCUCCUUUGACUACGAUGACCUGGAUGACUGAGAACCUUCACAGACAAACUUAGCAUUCAUAAAGAUUGGCUCUUCAGUUCAUGUUUAUGCAGAUUUGUAAAUUCAACUACAGCAUAGAUGCAAGCACAGCCACAGAAAGACAGCGCAUAAAUAACCUUGAUCUGCCCUAGAACAAGCAUCAAUGUGUUGUACAUAUUUCAUAUUUUCAUUUUCCUACUUUGAAAAGCAAUUGACCUAUGUUUUACCAGAGCCUCAAACCUGACUUUAAUAUAAAGAAAGUAAGAACUGGGUGUCAUGAGACAUUAUAAAGCCAGUGGCUGUAUCAUCAUAUAUAUAUAUAUAAAAAAACAAAACAAAAAAAACACCCAGCACGCCCCUGCGGGCGGUUUAUCCUUCAAGCUCGGGUCCUCUACCAGAUGCCUGGGAGCUUGAGGGUCCUGCGCAGUAUCUUCGCUGUUCCCAGGACUGCGCUCUUCUGGACAGAGAUCUCCGAUGUUCCCGGGAUCUGCUGGAGCCACUCGCCUAGCUUGGGAGUCACCGCACCUAGUGCUCCGAUUACCACGGGGACCACCGUCACCUUCACCCUCCACAUCCUCUCGAGCUCUUCUCUGAGCCCUUGGUAUUUCUCGAGCUUCUCGUGUUCCUUUUUCCUGAUAUUGCUGUCAUUUGGAACCGCUACAUCGAUCACUACGGCCGUCUUCUUCUGUUUAUCUACCACCACUAUGUCCGGUUGGUUAGCCAGCACCAUUUUGUCCGUCUGUAUCUGGAAGUCCCACAGGAUCUUAGCUCGGUCAUUCUCCACCACCCUUGGGGGCAUCUACCAUUUUGACCUCGGAACUUCCAGGCCAUAUUCGGCACAGAUGUUCCUGUACACUAUGCCGGCCACUUGGUUAUGGCGUUCCCUGUAUGCCCUGCCUGGUAGCAUCUUGCACCCUGCUGUUAUGUGCUGGAUUGUCUCAGGG